rnacentral:rRNA from 1 species
GACAGAGGGUGCAAACGUUGUUCGGAAUUACUGGGCGUAAAGCGCGUGUAGGCGGCUUGGCAAGUCGGAUGUGAAAGCCCCGGGCUCAACCCGGGAAGUGCAUUCGAUACUGCUUCGCUAGAGUCCCGGAGAGGGUGGUGGAACUCUCGGUGUAGAGGUGAAAUUCGUAGAUAUCGAGAAGAACAUCGGUGGCGAAGGCGGCCACCUGGACGGUGACUGACGCUGAGACGCGAAAGCGUGGGGAGCAAACAGG